UACGUAGGGUGCAAGCGUUAAUCGGAAUUACUGGGCGUAAAGCGUGCGCAGGCGGUUUUGUAAGUCUGUCGUGAAAGCCCCGGGCUCAACCUGGGAAUUGCGAUGGAGACUGCAAGGCUUGGAUCUGGCAGAGGGGGGUAGAAUUCCACGUGUAGCAGUGAAAUGCGUAGAGAUGUGGAGGAACACCGAUGGCGAAGGCAGCCCCCUGGGUCAAGAUUGACGCUCAUGCACGAAAGCGUGGGGAGCAAACAGG
rnacentral:rRNA from 1 species